UUUCCGUAGGUGAACCUGCGGAAGGAUCAUUCAUAAUAAAGUGUUUUAUGGCACUUUUUAAAAAUCCAUAUCCACCUUGUGUGCAAUGUUAGAUCUCGUCAAUCUUGGCGAGAUUUUUAUACAUCAACUCAUUCUUUAACUAAUUUGUCUGAAAAAUAUUAUGAAUACUUAAUUCAAAAUACAACUUUCAACAACGGAUCUCUUGGCUCUCGCACGAUGAAGAACGCAGC
rnacentral:misc_RNA from 1 species